rnacentral:rRNA from 1 species
UACGUAGGGGGCAAGCGUUGUUCGGAAUUACUGGGCGUAAAGGGCUCGUAGGCGGUUUGUCGCGUCGGGAGUGAAAACUCAGGGCUUAACCCUGAGCCUGCUUCCGAUACGGGCAGACUAGAGGUAUGCAGGGGAGAACGGAAUUCCUGGUGUAGCGGUGAAAUGCGCAGAUAUCAGGAGGAACACCGGUGGCGAAGGCGGUUCUCUGGGCAUUACCUGACGCUGAGGAGCGAAAGUGUGGGGAGCGAACAGG